UAGAGAUAAGAUGGCAGUCGCUCUGCUUGUUAUAGCAAGAACAACUUUCAGGUUAUUAGGAUUAGAAUUUAUGCUCACGCUACACUUCAAAAUGUUAUGUAUUUAACGUGUAUCCAGGACGUUCCAUUGAGGUCUCCUUUUUUUUUACAAGGGAGACCUGGACCAAGGGGAGACUUAAAGUCUGCAGGGCUCAUCUGUAAAAGAGAACGUACAUAACACCACACAGCUGUACUACAUUGGGGUUAAACGUGGAUGUCUGAGGAACAGUCUUCAUUAACGGCCUUGGAAACACGUGGGCUAAGACAUGGCCACAGGCUUCACACCAGCCUCCAUUGCCCUAUGCUGACUGACUUUGCUUAGGUUUCCAAGACAAGAAAAAAAAAACAACAGAAAGCUUAACAACACCCUCCAAGGCUGAGUAAUGAAGAAAAGAAGAAGAGGAAGGAGAAUCAAAAGAAAACCAUGGAGUAAAAAAAAAAAGAAUCAUUCAAUAAAUUACAAGGUAUAACCUUGGCUAGUUUGUAUACCACUGGUCAGGCCACUGCAGUUAAUCACAAAUAAAAGCCAGGAGCGAAAUUAUAUUGCUGUUUUCCAAGAAUUCAAUGUUUCCAGAGCUGUUGUUCCUGGCUGGAAAGUUAACAUUUGAAGCUAGCAUCAGAUGAUUAGGUUCCUUAUAAUCCCUCGUGGACAGAUUCUCUUGGACAGAUAAAACAGUGAGAAGGCUCAAGUAUAAUUAUGUGAUUACGAGCAACAGUAGUUCCUGGUUUGGUGUUUAUGUUUCUGAUUAUUUGGAUGAAUCAUGAUUGGGCGAAGAUGGUGCUGUGAUUUUCAACCCCAUGUCCGGAUGAUGAACGAUUUCCACCAAAUUCCACAACCUCAAAGUCAAAAAUGGCUUUAUCGUAAAAAUUCACGAAAACAAAAAUUGUCCUUUUUGGCCGUCAUAGAAACACGGGGGAAAUUAGCGGAAUCAGAGGGAGGAGACUUUGUUUCCUUCCUUGGCACAAGAGUAACCACAAUUGUUAAUGGCAAUCGCCCAGAAGUAAACAGGAAAUGACAAACUUAAUUUGUCAUUUCAGUGCUGGA